AACGAACGCUGGCGGCAGGCUUAACACAUGCAAGUCGAGCGCAUCCUUCGGGGUGAGCGGCGGACGGGUGAGUAACGCGUGGGAACGUGCCCUCUUCUACGGAAUAGCCUCGGGAAACUGAGAGUAAUGCCGUAUACGCCCGCAAGGGGAAAGAUUUAUCGGAGGAGGAUCGGCCCGCGUUGGAUUAGGUAGUUGGUGGGGUAACGGCCUACCAAGCCGACGAUCCAUAGCUGGUUUGAGAGGAUGAGCAGCCACACUGGGACUGAGACACGGCCCAGACUCCUACGGGAGGCAGCAGUGGGGAAUCUUGGACAAUGGGGGCAACCCUGAUCCAGCCAUGCCGCGUGAACGAUGAAGGCCUUAGGGUUGUAAAGAUCUUUCAGCUGGGAAGAUAAUGACGGUACCAGCAGAAGAAGCCCCGGCUAACUCCGUG
rnacentral:rRNA from 1 species